rnacentral:rRNA from 1 species
UACAGAGGUCCCAAGCGUUGUCCGGAAUCAUUGGGCGUAAAGGGCGCGUAGGUGGCCUGGUCAGCGUGCGGUGAAAGCUCGGGGCUCAACCCCGAGUCGGCCGUGCGAACUGCUGGGCUGGAGCACUGUAGAGGCAGGCGGAAUUCCGGGGUGUAGCGGUGGAAUGCGUAGAGAUCCGGAAGAACACCGGUGGCGAAGGCGGCGACCUGGUCCUUUACUGACGCUGAGGCGCGGAAAGCGUGGGGAGCAAACAGG